rnacentral:lncRNA from 1 species
AGCUGACUGUAUGGGUACUGCUGACAACUGUCACCUGGAAGAAGCCAAGAAUGGAAUGGAGACUCUCCGCAGUUCCUCCACAGCCCCCGUGCUCCGUACACUGCUGCGUGUACGUAUGUGCGCGAGAGAUACAGAGGCAGACAGAGAGAGAGAGAGACACGGAGAGUGUGCGUGGGGGGAAUCUAUGUGAUUGAAGACAAUAGCUUAAAAGUUCUUCUGAGUGACCUGUGAUUACAUGAAAUCACCAAUAAAGGAACAGAAACACAGCAGCUCAGGAGCGACCCC